AUGCGCUGCCUCUCCUGGGCCGGCACGGACGUGGACCCGGAGGUGGUCCGCUUCGACUGCAACCCGCUCACCGGCGAGCUCUACCGCCUCCCGGACCUCGACGGCACCAAGAGGACGUCCGCCUGCCGCCACCUCGGCCUCCUCACCCAGUCCCAGGCCGGCGACGGGCCGCCUGACAGGUACGCGGUGGCAGAGAUGUUUACUGACGGAGGCCAGGAAGAGGAUGAGGGGGGCUUCGUCAUGCGCCGGUUCCUCUCGGAGACGGGGAAGUGGGACAUGGUGGCCGGCUUGCCGUCCCCGCUGCCCGCUGGGCGGAAGAUGGACAUCGACAACGCCGUGGUGGCCUUCGGCGACCGCCUGUGGUGGAUCGACGAGAGCUGGGGCGCCAUCUCCGUGGACCCCCUCAGCGACCGUCCGGAGCUCCGGUUCGUCGAGCUGCCAAGAAGCAGCGUUCUCCCCGACCUGGAUGGCCUGGUGUUGAAGACAUUGACAUUGGGCAGCCACCGGCGCAUGGGGGUCAGCGAGGGGAAGAUGCGCUACAUUGAGGUCUCCAUGGAGAAGCCGUAUGUGAUCAGCUUGUUCUCGCUCGACGACGGGGGCAGCUCCUGGACGCUGGACUAUGAGACGGCGUUUGCUCCAAUUUGGGAUGAUGCACUCCUCUGUUCGGCACCCUUGGAGCAAAUGCUGACAAUUGGCGCCAUCAACCCACUGAAAGCUAACAUCGUGUACCUUGCCUGCGGCGACAAAAUUCUAGGCGUCGAUAUGGUUACUAAGAAGAUAACUGGGAUUUCUGGUCUAGCUAUAGCUGUACCAGAUCUCCCCCUACUACCAUGUGUGCUCCCAACGUGGCUGGAAUCGAGCCAAAUUCCAUCUGCAGGUUGGAGCAAGAAAAACACCCGUAAAAGUGAGGUAUCGCCAAACACUGUCAAAAGGGAGAAUUUGCAUGUCGAAAUAGAACUGUUGAAAUGA
rnacentral:rRNA from 1 species